CGAGCGGUAAGGCCCUUCGGGGUACACGAGCGGCGAACGGGUGAGUAACACGUGAGCAACCUGCCCCUGACUCUGGGAUAAGCGGUGGAAACGCCGUCUAAUACCGGAUACGACCCGCCACCUCAUGGUGGAGGGUGGAAAGUUUUUCGGUCAGGGAUGGGCUCGCGGCCUAUCAGCUUGUUGGUGGGGUAACGGCCUACCAAGGCGAUUACGGGUAGCCGGCCUGAGAGGGCGACCGGCCACACUGGGACUGAGACACGGCCCAGACUCCUGCGGGAGGCAGCAGUGGGGAAUAUUGCGCAAUGGGCGAAAGCCUGACGCAGCGACGCCGCGUGGGGGAUGACGGCCUUCGGGUUGUAAACCUCUUUUACCACCAACGCAGGCUUCCAGUUCUCUGGAGGUUGACGGUAGGUGGGGAAUAAGGACCGGCUAACUACGUGCCAGCAGCCGCGGUAAUACGUAGGGUCCGAGCGUUGUCCGGAAUUAUUGGGCGUAAAGAGCUCGUAGGCGGCGUGUCGCGUCUGCUGUGAAAGACCGGGGCUUAACUCCGGUUCUGCAGUGGAUACGGGCAUGCUAGAGGUAGGUAGGGGAGACUGGAAUUCCUGGUGUAGCGGUGAAAUGCGCAGAUAUCAGGAGGAACACCGGUGGCGAAGGCGGGUCUCUGGGCCUUACCUGACGCUGAGGAGCGAAAGCAUGGGGAGCGAACAGGAUUAGAUACCCUGGUAGUCCAUGCCGUAAACGUUGGGCGCUAGGUGUGGGGACUUUCCACGGUUUCCGCGCCGUAGCUAACGCAUUAAGCGCCCCGCCUGGGGAGUACGGCCGCAAGGCUAAAACU
rnacentral:rRNA from 1 species